AAGGAGUAGCAGCUUCUGACGAACACACAUGACCUGGUGCUCCACCAGAGUAGAGAAGGAGCCGAUUACUAGGGCACACAUCAGGUCUUAUUACUGGUGAUCUUUGUCCUCUUCCAUUGUAAACCAAAUCAAUGUACAUGAUCCCUGUGUUUCCAACAAAUACAGAAUAAAGGUGACAGGACCCAGGCCCAGCAGCCCAAAGAAGACAAUGAAGAGGCAGUGAUGAUGACCACUUAUCUGAUGAAGCGUGUGCAGCGCCAGCUACAGCUUUUAGGCAAAGCUUUCUGCCCUUGAGGAGAUUUUUGAAGAGGAAGAGCCAAGAGCGUGACCAGCACCUCAGGGAAGAUUCAGGAGCAGAUACAGCUCUACAGAGCCUCAUCGACGCCCUCAGAGCGGACAGUUUCUAUUGGCCAGGAGCGGGCCUGUCUGUUGCCAGAAAAUGCAGACAUGUUGAUCUUUACUUCAAGUUAGGAUUGAUAUCAAUCCUGAGUGUCUGCUGGCGCACCCCUAUCCUAAAAGCACAACCAGUUUUAUUAAUAAUAAAAGUUUUGUGUUUAAUGUAUUUUUGUUGAUGUUGAAAUGGAUUUUACAACAUAUGGUAUUGGAAAAAGUAUCAUUCGGAAACGGGAUAGAAACUGAGGUGUCGAAAUUGGCACCGGAUCGAAAGAUUGAGAACGAUACUCAGCCCUAUUUGCCAGUGCAUGGAAAAAAAAGUAUGAUAACUGGAAGAGUCUCAUAUUUACGAUCUAAAUUUUCUGGCCGACUUCAUUCCUCUCCUCAACAUUAGAACUUGCACAGUGAUGCCGAAAAUGAAGGAGGAUGACGCUGCCAUGAAUCCCCCACAGCCGACUGAGCUGGUGAAAUCCCUGGCUGACCUCUACCGUACUCAACAUCAGGUCCUCCUUGAGCUAGGGGGGGAUAUAUGUAAGCUAAGUAUAGCAGCAUGGUAAUGUUACUGUUUUUAAUUUAUGUAUUUUUUUUCUUAUGUUUUUGUGUUGGUGUCCUUGUGUGUGAUGUAUAGUGAAGCCAAGGACAAAUUUCCAC